UGAGAAAAAACUAAAGUGGAGCAAAAAGCAAGAAUUGCUUUAUGAAUUAUUGCAUUCCAUGCAGAUGGGCUCUACAGUUUUACUUAUCUCCAGUUAUUUUUAACAUGCAGAUUGUUUUUCUAUUACUCAGAUCAGUCAUUUUGUAAUCAUUCUCUUUACAAGGAAUAGUAAUCAUUCUCUUGCUCUGCAAUUUGCUAUUUUAUGACAUAAAUUUCAGAGAAAACGGGGCACAAAUAGUAAUCAUGGCUUCUUGCUUCACAUAAAGAAAAUGCUGCAUGUCUGUCUGUGAAGGAAGAGGCCAUGAUCACUAUCUGUGCCAUGCUUUCACAUUCUGUUUGCUUCGGAUGAUGAUGAUGAUGGUGAUUGUUGAAGAAGGUGAUGAAUUGCUUGAUGGGGUGAUCAAGGUCCUCCAACAAGAUGCUCUUCCUCAAAUCGAAAAUGUUGAUCCUUUUUUUCAAAUGGAAAUGGAUCAAACGUUUGGAUCAUCUCAUCUUGCCGGAGUUUCAAUGGAGUUCUCAGUACGAAUGCAAGAUCAAAGGGAUUCAAGGAGAGCAGCAACAUUACGAAGACUAUUUUCAGGGAAUGAAAUAAUCAAGAAAUCCACAACGGAAUUCCCCAUAAUCAAUAUUUAGUAUGAUCUGAAGACGGGGAGGAGUUUGCAGAGAAUCUCAGCAAUAUUGAUGAAUGCAAGAUCAAAGUAUCAAUAUGUUGGACUCUUGCUGGAAGAUGUAAGCACUCCAUAGAUGGUGUUGCACUUCUUGCCUUCCGAAGAUCUCAGCAAUAUUCCACAGAUGAAUCCCUCAAUAAAUUGUAUAUUCUUUUUCACUAAAAAGCAAGACAAAUGACAGUAUAUUUAUAUUGAA